rnacentral:rRNA from 1 species
UGAACGCUAGCGGCAGGCCUAACACAUGCAAGUCGAGGGGUAACGGUUCCUUCGGGAAGCCGACGACCGGCGCACGGGUGAGUAACGCGUAUGCAACCUACCUAUUACUGGGGGAUAGCCCGGGGAAACCCGGAUUAAUACCCCAUGACACCAUAAGAUGGCAUCAUUUAAUGGUUAAAGCUUCGGCGGUAGUAGAUGGGCAUGCGUGCCAUUAGCUUGUUGGUGGGGUAACGGCCCACCAAGGCUACGAUGGUUAUGGGGUCUAAAAGGAUGGUCCCACACACUGGUACUGAGACACGGACCAGACUCCUACGGGAGGCAGCAGUGAGGAAUAUUGGUCAAUGGGCGAAAGCCUGAACCAGCCAUGCCGCGUGCAGGAUUAAGGCCCUACGGGUCGUAAACUGCUUUUAUGGGGGGAGAAAGGGCGCCACGUGUGGCGUUUUGACGGUACCCCGUGAAUAAGCACCGGCUAACUCC